rnacentral:misc_RNA from 1 species
GAUGAAGAACGUAGCGAAAUGCGAUAAGUAAUGUGAAUUGCAGAAUUCAGUGAAUCAUCGAAUCUUUGAACGCACCUUGCGCUCCUUGGUAUUCCGAGGAGCAUGCCUGUUUGAGUGUCAUUAAUAUUAUCAACCUUUUUGGUUGGAUGUGGGUUUGCUGGACUCCUUGAAAUCAGCUCUCCUUAAAUGCAUUAGCGGACAACAUUUUGCCAACCGUUUAUUGGUGUGAUAAUUAUCUACGCUAUUGACGUGAAGCAAGGUUCAGCUUCUAACAGUCCAUUGACUUGGACAAGUCUCUUUUUAUCAAUGUGACCUCAAAUCAGGUAGGACUACCCGCUGAACUUAAGCAUAUCAAUAAGCGGAGGA